AACGAACGCUGGCGGCAUGCCUAACACAUGCAAGUCGAACGAGAUCUUCGGGUCUAGUGGCGCACGGGUGCGUAACGCGUGGGAAUCUGCCCUUUGGUUCGGAAUAACAGUUGGAAACGACUGCUAAUACCGGAUGAUGACGAAAGUCCAAAGAUUUAUCGCAAGAGGAUGAGCCCGCGUAGGAUUAGCUAGUUGGUGUGGUAAAGGAGCACCAAGGCGACGAGCCUUAGCUGGUCGGAGAGGAUGAUCAGCAACACUGGGACUGACGACACGGCCCAGACUCCUACGGGAGGCAGCAGUGGGGAAUAUUGGACAAUGGGCGAAAGCCUGAUCCAGCAAUGCCGCGUGAGUGAUGAAGGCCCUAGGGUUGUAAAGCUCUUUUACCCGGGAUCAUAAUGACAGUACCGGGAGAAUAAGCUCCGGCUAACUCCGUGCCAGCAGCCGCCGUAAUAC
rnacentral:rRNA from 1 species